CCGAGCUCAUGCCCUUACGGGUAGAUCUCCCACCCUAUGUUAUCGUUACCUUUGUUGCUUUGGCGGGCCGUCAGGCUUCGGUCAGGCUAUCGGCUCCGGCUGGUAAGCGCCCGCCAGAGGACCCCAAACUCUGAAUGUUAGUGUCGUCUGAGUACUAUACAAUAGUUA
rnacentral:misc_RNA from 1 species